AGCCACAGCCAUAUCACCCUGCAGCCCAAGACAAGUUACUCACUGAAGCUAAGCAUGCAGGGCUGAGCCUGGUUAGUACCUGGAUGAGAGAUCACAUGAGAAAACUAUGUUGCUGUUGAAA
ensembl:rRNA 5S_rRNA 5S ribosomal RNA